rnacentral:rRNA from 1 species
CCUACGGGUGGCAGCAGUGAGGGAUAUUGCACAAUGGGGGGAACCCUGAUGCAGCGACGUCGCGUGGGUGAAGAAGCGCCUCGGCGCGUAAAGCCCUGUCAGCAGGGAAGAAAAUGACGGUACCUGAAGAAGAAGCCCCGGCCAACUACGUGCCAGCAGCCGUGGGAAUACGUAGGGGGCAAGCGUUAUCCGGAUUUACUGGGUGUAAAGGGGGCGCAGGCGGCGAUGCAAGCCAGGAGUGAAAGCCCGGGGCCCAACCCCGGGACUGCUCUUGGAACUGCAUGGCUGGAGUGCAGGAGGGGCAGGCGGAAUGCCUGGUGUAGCGGUGAAAUGCGUAGAUAUCAGGAGGAACACCGGUGGCGAAGGCGGCCUGCUGGACUGCAACUGACGUUGAGGCCCGAAAGCGUGGGGAGCAAACAGGAUUAGAUACCCGAGUAGUC